AACCUACCUUCCACAGGGGGAUAGCCCCGGGAAACCGGGAUUAAUACCGCAUGACACAGCGGGACGGCAUCGUCCUGCUGUCAAAGCUGAGGCGGUGGAAGAUGGGCAUGCGUGCCAUUAGCUAGUUGGCGGGGUAACGGCCCACCAAGGCUACGAUGGCUAGGGGUUCUGAGAGGAUGGUCCCCCACACUGGUACUGAGACACGGACCAGACUCCUACGGGAGGCAGCAGUAGGGAAUAUUGGGCAAUGGCCGAGAGGCUGACCCAGCCAUGCCGCGUGCAGGAAGAAGGCCUUCUGGGUUGUAAACUGCUUUUAUCUGGGAAGAAAACGCCCCUGCGGGGGUAACUGACGGUACCAGAUGAAUAAGCACCGGCUAA
rnacentral:rRNA from 1 species